GCUAUGAGAGAUUAAAAGGGAAUCAGGUGAAAGACCUGGACAGUACCCGCUGCUGUAAACUCAUUUUUUCGACUGCAAGACAAACCACUGUCGCACACGACGGGAAGGUGCAGUCGAUGAGUAAGUCAGAAGACCUGCCGAUUCAUAU
rnacentral:ncRNA from 1 species